rnacentral:lncRNA from 1 species
UAUAAUGGCUUGAGUUGUUUGGCCUCUAGCCAAAAGGUGGCACUUUUUGUUUUAUUUGUUUCGUUUUCUUCUUCUUCUUCUUCUUUUUUUUUUUUUUGAGAUGGGGUCUCAUUCACUCUGUUGCCCAAGCUACAGUGCAGUGGUGCAGUCUUGGCUCACUGCAACCUCCACCUCCCGGGUUCAAGCAGUUCUCCUGCCUUAACCUCCUGAGUAGCUGGGAUUACAGGUGUGCACCACCAUGCUAAACUAAUUUUUGUAUUUUCAGUAGAGAUGGAGUUUCACCAUAUUGGCCAGGCUGGUCUCAAACUCCUGACUUCAAGGGAUCUGCCCACCUUGGCCUCCCAAAGUGGUGGGAUUAUAGGCGUGAGCCACCAUGCCUGGCCUGUGGUGGUCCUUUUAAGAGUGCACCAGCUGCAGUAGUAGAAGGGGAAUAUAAGCUUGCCUUACAUUGGCCAGGAUAAAUACUUGGGUUUCUCAGGCAGUGGGUGGGGCCAUAGAGCUUUCAAGAGUUUAUGUUUUUGUCUUCAGCUACCAAGGCAGGUAGAGAAAAACCAUCAGGUGGGGUCAGGGUAAGGUGGGUCCGAUCUCAGAGUCUUACUCUGGGCUGGAGUGCAGUGGCGCAACCUCGGCUCACUGCAACCUCCGCCUCCCAGGUUCAAGCAAUUCUCCUGCCUCAGCCUUCUUCUACUUUUAUAUUUCGCUCAGUUACCUAUAUCUGUUUCAGCUCUAGGUAAGUUUAAAUCCUUCUUCUGUGAUCUGACUUUUCAGGUUCCCCAGUGGGGAUGUGUGCUUGGAGGCAGACAUUUCCCCCUCUCACACUUCGAGAACUCACAGUUCUUUGGCUGUCUCAUGGAGUUUGCAACAGCAAGCUGCUUCUUUCAGAGGGUCUGUGAAUUCUUUCACUUUUCCUGAUAUGUUUCUGUAAUGGUUCUUGGAGCAAAAGUUUACAAUGUGGGUCUCCACACACUGUUCUGUCUGUCCAAAUGAAAGUUGCACAUUAGUUCUGUCUCCUAUCAGCCAUUUUUUCCAAUAACACUUUAAUCACACAACAAACUCCACACUUCUACUCCCCUUCCUCCCACAUAAAAUGUGAGCUGAUGUCAACA